GACGAACGCUGGCGGCGUGCCUAACACAUGCAAGUCGAACGGAGUACCUUCGGGUGCUUAGUGGCGAACGGGUGAGUAACGCGUGAGAAACCUGCCUUUCAGUGGGGGACAACAGUUAGAAAUGACUGCUAAUACCGCAUAAUGUAUUUUAGGGGCAUCCCUUGAAUACCAAAGCUUUAUGUGCUGAAAGAUGGUCUCGCGUCUGAUUAGCUAGAUGGCGGGGUAACGGCCCACCAUGGCGACGAUCAGUAGCCGGUCUGAGAGGAUGAACGGCCACAUUGGGACUGAGAUACGGCCCAGACUCCUACGGGAGGCAGCAGUGGGGAAUAUUGGGCAAUGGGGGAAACCCUGACCCAGCAACGCCGCGUGAAGGAAGAAGGCCUUCGGGUUGUAAACUUCUUUUACCAGGGACGAACACAAUGACGGUACCUGGAGAAAAAGCAACGGCUAACUACGUGCCAGCCGCCGCGGUAAUAC
rnacentral:rRNA from 1 species